rnacentral:lncRNA from 1 species
AAUGUGGUGUCUGAGGAGGUUCCCACAAAGCAAAAGGCCUCAACCUGGGAAAGAGUCCAACACUUUCUGGGAUGGAGGAAACCACAGAGAUGGGAGAAGCCAAAGGACCCUGCACCCAGCAGCACCUCAUACCAAGAGGACAUCCAAAGGAUGAGGUGUCUGAGGAAAUUCCUAUGAAGCAAAGGGAAAGAGACCAACACUUUCACGAGCUGAAUAAACCACAGAUAUGGGAGAAGCCAAAGUACCCUGCAUCCAGAAGCACCUCAUACCAAGAGGACAGCCAAAGCUUUGGAGCUGAUAGGCUUCCCAUUAGACAGCAGGUUGACAACCUGCCCUCGAUGAUGUGCCAACCCUGUGGGUUUUCUACCUCCCCAGCCACUGCAGGACAACUGACCAGUAAUGUGCAGGAUGUCCCUGAUAAGUCCUCUUUUACACGCAGCAGUCCGUGCCUGGAGAUGGUGGUAAAUGGGGUAAAAAUCCCAUUUGUGCUGGAUACAGGUGCUAAAGUAACUCUUCUUAGCCAUUCCCUUUUUCUAAAAAGCUUUAGCGAUAUUCAAAUGAGAGACACAACUGAAAUACCCUGGCUCAAAAUUAGAGGAGGCAAUGGGCUCCGUUUCCCAUUCAAAGGGUAUCUAGAGCUAGAUUUUCAGGCUGGAGACAUUGAAAUUAUGGGGAAAGGAGUCUUGAUAGUUAAGGAUGACUACUUUGGAACCCAAUAUGGAUUGCUGGGGACGAAUGUCAUAUCAGAAAUCUGGAAGUCUGUUGCUAGUUUUGACAACUUGAGUCUGAGCUUGACAAGCUGCAAGAUGCUCUCACUGAUCCCAAACCUAAAACUGGUAGGUUUUCCACGUCCCCGGCCACUGCAGGCCGACUAUCCGGUGAUGUAA